UUACAACCAUCAGGUCUGGAGGAGAGUUCUGCUGGACUCCUGGAGUCUCACUGAAUCCUCUGUUGUCUGCAGACAGCUGGGCUGUGACUCUGUACUGAACUUCUACGGCUCCUCUUCAUCCAGUCCUGAACACAGUCAUGAGUGUGUGAUGGGCUUCCAGUGCUCUGGGAGUGAAGCUCAUCUGGGGAACUGCAGCUCUCCACAAACUCUCACCUGCAGCUCCACACAACAGCUGUCAAUCACCUGCCUUGGUCGUGGGUCCAUCAGGCUGGUGGGUUCUGGAGGAGACUGUGCAGGGAGGCUGGAGGUUUUUCACAGUGGCUCAUGGGGGACAGUGUGUGAUGACUCCUGGGAUAUUAAAGAUGC